rnacentral:misc_RNA from 1 species
CAUGUGGCAUCAACAACUGACCAAGAAAGAGGAAGGAACUGACGAUAAAAACGGCGUUCUGAACUCAGGAAGCAUUAAUGGCCAAGAUGGCGAUGCGACAUGAUUAUAUCUUGUACAUAUAUAAUAUAUAAUCGUUAUUGAAAAUGCAUGGGUGUUGUUUUAUUAAAGUUCUUUAAAAGGGAUGUAAACCUUAAAAAAAGACGACUUAAUACAUGUGAGAAAUAUUAGUAUAUUUAUAUUUACAGCAUUGAACAGACCCAUAUAUUACAGUCAGGAUCAGAGCUAACCUAAAAGAAAGUAAACCCCAACUACACCCUGGGUUUACUCUGGGUAUACUAGAGUGGACUCAGAGUCCAAAGCGGAUGCUACAUGUGUAUUUGUAAUAUACAAGGGCAUGUAUUGCAGGCAACAAGAUGGUGAGAGAGAAGAUGGGUCAGCUUCACACUUCAGUGCGUAAAGUAAACCCCAAACACAAACCUUGACUUAACCCAAGUAAACCCAGAGUGGACACAAAUUUUAAAAAAGCUGACCCAGAGUUAACUCUAAGUUAACCCCCGAAAGUAAAUCUGGGGUUUAGUUGGGGUCUGCUCUGGUGUAAGAUUUAAGUUGGGUCUGAUUUGUAUUGUAUGUAUACAGAUAUGUCAAUGUUUAUGAAGAGGCAUGAUUGUGUUAUUUUUAUCUUCAUUGCUGGCUGAAGUAGUAUGUCUUCUACAGUAAAGGAGUUGGUAUACAAUUUAUAAAUGCAUUUUAUUUUCCAUUAUUUUUUUUUUAUAUCAAAUAUCCUAGAUCUGAAAUACAUUUCUCUGUAACAUAUGAUUUUAGUCAGUGAAGAAUUCAAAUGAUUUUUUUUUCUAUAAAAAGUUUUCUUUGUAAUCUUGAAUUGCGAUCAGAUUUCCUUGUGGGAUCAUUUGGUACAUAUAUGUUAUAUGUUUCCUUUUCCCCAUCCCAGGGUAGAGAUGAUCACCAUUAAUUUCAAUAUGACAACUGAGUUCCUUUUUCUUAAUUCUUACAUGUCUAUAUUUUGAUGUGAUUUUUUUUAAAUUCAUAUUUAUUUAUCCUCCCAUGACCCAAAGAUCAGGAUAUACAAAUCAUGUAGUCAAUUUGUUGUCAGUCAGUUGUUGUAUAUUGUAAAACUUUGAACUUCCCAUCAACUUACUUUUGUAGUACAUGUAUAUAUUGUUUCAACUUGCACAUGUUGUAUAAUUAUCUUGGUUUAUAGGGAGGAAUGUAAUAAUUAAAGGCCAAAUUUUAGCAUAAUAAUUAUUGUAAACUAUUAAUUUAAAAAUAUUCAUUUCUAGUCC